CGGGUUCGAGUUUGAUUGCCAUCCCUAUUUGCAUAGUUCAAAUGACAAUAUAUUGUGAUUAUAAAUUGGUCUUUCGCUCCUAUCUGAUGAGCUUU
rnacentral:snoRNA from 1 species